rnacentral:rRNA from 1 species
UACGGGGGGGGCAAGCGUUGUUCGGAAUUACUGGGCGUAAAGCGUACGUAGGCGGCUUUGUAAGUUAGAGGUGAAAGCCCAGAGCUCAACUCUGGAAUUGCCUUUAAGACUGCAUCGCUUGAAUCGUGGAGAGGUUAGUGGAAUUCCGAGUGUAGAGGUGAAAUUCGUAGAUAUUCGGAAGAACACCAGUGGCGAAGGCGACUAACUGGACACGUAUUGACGCUGAGGUACGAAAGCGUGGGGAGCAAACAGG